rnacentral:lncRNA from 1 species
CUGAGCUCCUCCCUCCCUUUAAUCUAUUGGCAUAGCUAUGAUUCUUUCCAUUAGACCUUGUUGUAUAGCAUCCAUUUUUCAUCUGGCUUCUCCAUCAUUUUUGUAUAAUUUGAGAUUUAAACCGUAGGCCUCCUCAGCUUGCUGAGACCUGGUGAGUCCCUCCCACCUUCCCUGACAAAUCUAACCGUCAGCAGCUUGUCACCAUCAUCUCUCAUUUUCCAUAGGCUUCCAGGCUACAGCAUGUUAGGACAGCAGAGUCUCUUCCAUCUUCAGCAUGCUGCAUUAUGAACAAGCAAUUCAAGGAUUUCUUCAAAAUUCCCCUCGAGCUUCAGGGCAGAUUUUCUGCAACUACAAAGAGACGCCCAGGAACUUCACUAUCCAUCAAACUUUUCUUAAAAACUUCUCUAUCAGGAAGGCUGCAAAAAUAAGUAAAGAAAUGAAUAUAAAAUUAAUGCUAGCCAAGGCCUACUGAGGAUCCCUGCUGCAGUGCAUGGCAAUGGUUGACUACGUGGACCAAAAGGGAACAAUGGGCAUUGGGAGGACCCCCAGCAUGGCUAUAGGAGUGGAAGAAGGAUGUUGUGCUGUCCUCAUGCCUGGCAGCACACCCAAAACGGAGAGGUGCCUGGGCAAAACCUGGCUUUGCCUGCUAACCUGCCUGCUCUACCCAGAGGCUUCUGGCUGCCUUUUGUACAGGGAAGUGGGAAGGCUGCCCUGGGCAGAAUUUGUGACAGCUAAGGAGACCUAGGAAAUCCUGCUUUCUCUGCUGAGAUAGCUCAAAACAGGAAAAGCGUUCUUCCAAGGACACAGGGGUGAGAAAUAAGCAAAUCAAAGCAAGAAAACCAAAAGAAACGUACAAAAAUAGCCCUACACACAUCCAAUACAUCAUUUUUUUCUUGUUCUUCAUUGGACCCUAUGAAGGACGGGUAUUUUGCAAGUCUGACCUGUCUCUGAGGCCCUUUACAAGUUGUUCUUCACUGACACCAUUUAAAUGAAAUGUUUGGUUACCUGUAUCCCUUGCCUCUUUGUUCUUAAAAUGUGCUCUCGUAUUUUUACUAGAAACAGUCUGUCCAAGUG